CGGGACGGGUGAGUAAUGCCUAGGAAUCUGCCUGGUAGUGGGGGACGAACGUUUCGAAAGGAACGCUAAUACCGCAUACGUCCUACGGGAGAAAGCAGGGGACCGUUCGGGCCUUGCGCUAUCAGAUGAGCCUAGGUCGGAUUAUCUAGUUGGUGAGGUAAUGGCUCACCAAGGCGACGAUCCGUAACUGGUCUGAGAGGAUGAUCAGUCACACUGGAACUGAGACACGGUCCAGACUCCUACGGGAGGCAGCAGCC
rnacentral:rRNA from 1 species